GACGAACGCUGGCGGCGUGCUUAACACAUGCAAGUCGAACGAUGAAGUUCCUUCGGGAAUGGAUUAGUGGCGAACGGGUGAGAAACACGUGAGAAACCUGCCUUUCAUUUUGGGAUAACUCCGGGAAACCGGAGCUAAUACCGAAUACUCCGUCUCGGUGGCAUCACUGAGCCGGGAAAAAUUUUGAUGAAAGAUGGUCUCGCGGCCUAUCAGCUAGUUGGUGAGGUAAUGGCUCACCAAGGCGACGACG
rnacentral:rRNA from 1 species